CCAAUAGCGUAUAUUAAAGUUGUUGCAGUUAAAAAGCUCGUAGUUGAAUUUCGGGAUCAGAUUGUCGGUCGUGCCUCGGUACGCACUGGCAUUAUUGGUUCCUACCUUCUGAAGAACCGCGAUGUCAUUAAUUUGGUGUCGUGGGGAAUCAGGACUGUUACUUUGAAAAAAUUAGAGUGUUUAAAGCAGGCGCACGCUUGAAUACAUUAGCAUGGAAUAAUGAAAUAGGACGUUUGAUUCUAUUUUGUUGGUUUCUAGGAUCGACGUAAUGAUUAAUAGGGAUAGUUGGGGGCAUUAGUAUUCAAUUGUCAGAGGUGAAAUUCUUGGAUUUAUUGAAGACUAACUACUGCGAAAGCAUUUGCCAAGGAUGUUUUCAUUAAUCAAGAACGAAAGUUAGGGGAUCGAAGACGAUCAGAUACCGUCGUAGUCUUAACCAUAAACUAUGCCGACUAGGGAUCGGAUGAUGUUAAUUUUUUAAUGACUCAUUCGGCGCCUUAC
rnacentral:rRNA from 2 species